rnacentral:rRNA from 1 species
UACUCGAGUGGCGAACGGGUGAGUAACACGUGGGUGAUCUGCCCUGCACUUCGGGAUAAGCCUGGGAAACUGGGUCUAAUACCGGAUAGGAGCCAUUUUUAGUGUGAUGGUUGGAAAGUUUUUUCGGUGUAGGAUGAGCUCGCGGCCUAUCAGCUUGUUGGUGGGGUAAUGGCCUACCAAGGCGGCGACGGGUAGCCGGCCUGAGAGGGUGGACGGCCACAUUAGGACUGAGAUACGGCCCAG